CUUCCCGCUGGCGGCGUGCCUCAUACAUGCAAGUCGAGCGAACAGACGAGGAGCUUGCUCCUCUGACGUUAGCGGCGGACGGGUGAGUAACACGUGGAUAACCUACCUAUAAGACUGGGAUAACUUCGGGAAACCGGAGCUAAUACCGGAUAAUAUAUUGAACCGCAUGGUUCAAUAGUGAAAGACGGUUUUGCUGUCACUUAUAGAUGGAUCCGCGCCGCAUUAGCUAGUUGGUAAGGUAACGGCUUACCAAGGCAACGAUGCGUAGCCGACCUGAGAGGGUGAUCGGCCACACUGGAACUGAGACACGGUCCAGACUCCUACGGGAGGCAGCAGUAGGGAAUCUUCCGCAAUGGGCGAAAGCUUGACGGAGCAACGCCGCGUGAGUGAUGAAGGUCUUCGGAUCGUAAAACUCUGUUAUUAGGGAAGAACAAAUGUGUAAGUAACUAUGCACGUCUUGACGGUACCUAAUCAGAAAGCCACGGCUAACUACGUG
rnacentral:rRNA from 1 species